CACGGGGCUUGUCGUUCCCUGGAGAAAGCUGAGAAAAUGCCACGCUCUCCCAGGAAAUGUACCAUGUUCCCCAUAGUGCUGCCCAUGUUGCAGCUCCUGCAAAAACUGAAAUGAACUAGAUGGCUUUGUGUUCUUGAGAGCUCCCAGUUCGCUGCCUCCUUCAUCAAGUACGGCUGGUCUGUUAUUGCAGGAAUCGAAAUGUGGAUGCCCAGGGUCCUGUAAAGGAGUUGGUGCUCCGGAAGAUGAGAGAGGUUGAGGAAUAUGUCGAUACAAACAUGGAAGAUCUGUCACAGACUUGAUUGUUCAGUUUCAUCAAGCGUCAAUAAUAAAAAUGAUCAUAUGGUUUAAUUCCUCUGGCCUAUAAAUGUGAGCUGAAGGGCA
rnacentral:lncRNA from 1 species